rnacentral:pre_miRNA from 1 species
GAAGUACUUCCUCCGUCCGAAAAUACUUGUCCAAGGAAUGGAUGUAUCUAGAUGUAUUUUAGUUCUAGAUACACCCAUUUGUAUUCAUUUCUAUGACAAGUAUUUUCGGACGGAGGGAGUAGUAA